UUUAUCUUAUACACCCGGCCAUAUCUGAGGAGUCUAGCAAUAUGAUGGAUUAAGAAUUCUCUAAGAAGCCUAUUAACACUUACAAUGGAUCAAAGGACUUGGGCCCAGGAUGUAUUACGAUGUAAUCUCUGUGAGACCCCAGCUCCCCCUUUGUCUUGCGGCCUUUGUGAUAUACAUUUGUGUAAGGCCUGUGUGGGGGAACAUCUCUUAGAUGAAUCAACAGAACACAAAGUGGUGCUUUUCAAAAAGCAGGGAUCUAUUACUAAAUGUAAAAAACAUUCAUCGACAUGUUGUGAUCUUUAUUGUGAAGAAUGUGACAUUCCUAUUUGCUUUCACUGUAUUUCUUCUGGUGAACAUGAGCAGCAUAAGAAAAUCGAAAUUUUGAAAACUUUUGAAAGCAAAAUUGCAGUUCUGCAAAAAGAUUUAGAAGAAUUAGAGAAGUCGAUUUUUCCUAAUUAUCAAAGGCUAGUGUCUAACAUCCUAGAUCAGAAAGCUGAUGUAAACAAAAACUCGCAGAAAUUGACAACAACGAUUGAUAAACAUGGAGAAGAAUUGCAUAGAGAAAUAGACGCAGUUAUAAAAAAAAUGAAAUUUGAUCUUCAAAUUAUUCACUCAAAACACAUGGAUGUCCUAACUAAGAAGGAAAACGAAAUCACAAACAUAAUUACUGAAAUGACACAACGCAUUGCCGAUCUGAAGAAAUUACUGGACUCCAAAGAUGUCAGUCUUACCUUUGCCUACAAAUCAAGGAAUGCUGAAUUCAAAAGGUCGCCUCCUAAAUUCAAAGUUUCAUUACCAGCAUUUACUUCACAUAAGAUCAACAAAGAAGAUAUUUAUAAACAGUUUGGUUUCCUGUCAACAUCUUCAAACAAAAAUAAAAAACACAACUGCUCAACUGAUCUUUCGAAAACCAAAUUAUCUCCAUCGGGCAGAUCAAUUAUUGAUAAACCACGUGUCAUCAAGUAUAUAUACGCGGAGAAUAAAUUUUUAUACAGUGUUUCCUGUUUGUAUGAUGAAAACAUAUGGGUAAGUGGUGACGACAAUACGAUAAGGCUUUACAGUCUCUCUGGGAAACAAGUUAAGUCAAUCAAAACUACUUCAAGAAGAAAACCAGAUGACAUGUAGCAGUGACAAGGAGUGGGGAUCUUAUUUAUACUGAUAAAGAUGAUAAAACUGUAAACCUAGAGAAAAAUGGACUGAUACAAACAGCAAUCAGACUAAAGGGGUGGAAACCUCGAGGGGUCUGUUGCACUUCCUCUGGUGACCUCCUGGUUAGCAUGGACAGUGAUGAUAAAAAAGAAUCAAAAGUUGUGCGCUACGCUGAUUUCACAGAAAAGCAAACUGUUCAGUACGAUGACAAAGGAGAGCCUCUUUAUUCAUCAAGUGGAAAUAAAUACAUCAGUGAAAACAGGAAUCUAGACAUAUGUGUGUCUGACUCCGUAGUAGUAGUGGUGAACCAGACAGGAAACCGCCGUUUCACCUACAGGGGUCGUCCUUUUCAUACUAAAAAACCAUUUUGUUCAUUCGGCAUCGCUACAGACAGCCAGGGUCGGAUCCUGAUAGCAGAUUUUAACAGCCACUGGAUCCACAUCCUGGAUCAGGACGGACUGUUCCUCCGUUUUAUUGACAACUGUCAUUUAAGAGGUCCGUGUGGGUUAUGUCUUGACAGCAGCGAUAACCUCUUUGUGACAGGAUUAACGACAAGUGAAGUGAAAAAAAUUCAAUAUUCCAAAUAAAAAAUUUGUUCCUCUACAUCAUACACGUACAUAUAAUAUUAGGAGUGAAGCGUUAAAUCAUUGAUUACCUGAAUUUGAGAUGGUAUGAGAGAUGAGACGAAAAAAAAUGUGGGGGAGUUCCAGAGUUAAGCAAUCUUCGUGACGCUGAAUAUUAGCAUUGCGGUAGCAGAAUGAAAAAAGAAAUUGUUGUUUCUUUGAGUUUGUGUAGAAAUGGAUCUCGUAAAGAAAACAAAUCUUAAGCUAAUUUUUAAAAAGUCAUUUAUUAACAAGGCAAGAUCAAUCCCAAUAUUCUAGGUACAUCCACAAAUGAAAGAUAAAAAAAAGAAUAUUUAUGGAGGAAAAACUAAUAUUUGCAUCUAAAAUUUAAGAUUUCCAUUUAGUAGCUACACGUGUUGGAAUCAUCCCAUGACUUCAAAUGGUGAUUUGGAAUCGACGCUGUAUAAAAAAAAAUAGCAAUACAAAUUACAUGGAUCUACAUGAAAUAUAUACAUAAAUAAGCAGGCAUAUUAACCUCUUACUAGGGUUGGACACGUAAAUACAAAGGAAGGAAACAUUUUAAUAUGUUUUAUCUCAAUUACAAAAGGUAAAAGUUUCUUUGACAAUUUUUUUAAGCAAGCUGGAGCCGAUUAUAUGAUUAAGGAAAUUGUAUGUUUAAUUCUAUAUUUAUUAAAUUCCUAAAAAUUGAAUAGAAUAUUUUAUUUGUUUAGAGCAAUCAUUUCUUUAUUUUUUCUUUAUAAGUAAAAUAAUUUUUCACCAAUUUUUCUGAAAAAAUAAAUCACAAAUUUAGUUGUGUAAAAGCCUUUUUAAAGAUGUGAAAAUGGUUUUGUAAUCAAAUUCUAUGAAACCAGACAAGGUUUCUCUCACAUUAUUCUGGUAUUAAAUGAUAAAUUAAAAGAUAUAUUAAAGGCAUGUUUCAGC
rnacentral:misc_RNA from 1 species